UACGUAGGGUGCAAGCGUUAAUCGGAAUUACUGGGCGUAAAGCGUGCGCAGGCGGUUUUGUAAGUUUGUCGUGAAAGCCCCGGGCUCAACCCGGGAGGGUCGUGGCGAACUGGGAGGCUUGAGGCCGGUAGAGGUGGGUGGAACUCCUGGUGGAGUGGUGAAAUGCGUAGAGAUCACUUGGAACGCCAAAGGUGAAAACAAUCUGCUGGGGAUCUGCUGACGCUGAGACACGAAAGCCAGGGGAGCGAACGGG
rnacentral:rRNA from 1 species